rnacentral:rRNA from 1 species
GAUGAACGCUGGCGGCGUGCUUAACACAUGCAAGUCGAACGGAAAGGCCCAAGCUUGCUUGGGUGCUCGAGUGGCGAACGGGUGAGUAACACGUGGGUGAUCUGCCCUGCACUUUGGGAUAAGCCUGGGAAACUGGGUCUAAUACCGGAUAGGACCAUCGUUUAGUGUCGGUGGUGGAAAGUUUUUCGGUGUGGGAUGAGCUCGCGGCCUAUCAGCUUGUUGGUGGGGUAAUGGCCUACCAAGGCGUCGACGGGUAGCCGGCCUGAGAGGGUGUACGGCCACAUUGGGACUGAGAUACGGCCCAGACUGCUACGGGAGGCAGCAGUGGGGAAUAUUGCACAAUGGGCGCAAGCCUGAUGCAGCGACGCCGCGUGGGGGAUGACGGCCUUCGGGUUGUAAACUCCUUUCGCCAAGGACGAAGCGUUUUGUGACGGUACUUGGAGAAGAAGCACCGGCUAACUACGUG